rnacentral:lncRNA from 1 species
AAGAAAACUUCCUGAUGCAAAUCAAUACUGUCAUUUACAAAAGUGCAUAACUGUGGUAAAACUAUAACUUUCUCACAUUCUCUUCUCCUUUGUUAGGGUGCUGCCUCUUUCUGAGGGUCUAUCAAAGUCUCCAAGCUGUUUGCACAUCACCAGUCUAGUAAGUUGCACAUGUUUCAAACACUGAGUGGCAUCAGGAUGGAUCCCCAUCUGAAAUAUGUGAUCAUCUCCAUUUCAGCCACGCUAACGCUGCUCAGACGGACCGGCUCUACUUUGUGCUUCAGCCGGCUCAGCUGCUCAACGGUGACAUCACAGUGGUUUCUUACAAUAAAAACAGCUGGUCAGGGAGUCGGCAGGUCGUCUUCCGUCUUCAGUUUCACACAGGGAUCAUAGCCGGACACACCCUCUCUUUCUCCAAGGCGGACCUUGACUGCGCCUGUGAAGGUAUUUAUAACCUGUUGUCUGCGGAGUGCACACUGUGCCAGCUGUUUUUAGAGCUCUACUCUAUCACCAGCCCACCAGACUUUAAUCUGUAACUGAUAAAUCUGUCAGCCGGGCUGCUUGGUGUGCACCUGAACCAACUGUGGAGCGGUGUCAGGUGUGCAGGUGUGAAGGACGCGUGGAAACACUUUGGAGUGAAGUGUCCAGCUGUCUGAUCUUUUUUCCUCUGAAUUUUCCAGAUUCUUUGUUCCCAGAUGAUGGAAAGCUGGAGCUGCUGUUCUCUGAAAGUCCAGAAAGAUUUGCAGGAAGAGAACUGUGGCACAAUGGACCAACGGUGAGCGUGGACUAUGACACCUUGGACCCUUUGGUCAGACGCGACUCGUAUCAGGACAUGUCUGGUCUUCAAACAGGUUUUCCCCACUUCCCAGAACCUGGAAAUGGAAGUUUGCGCCGCCGGCUGAGGAAGAAGAGUAGAGAGGAGGGAGCUUUCCAGUCGUCUAGCCCCAGCAGUCCGGGCCGCAGUGACCGAGCUCCAUCAGCUAGCAGCGACUCGGGUCUGUCUGUAGCCUCGCAGGGACUGAGUGGGGCCCGACAGAGAGGCGAGGCCACACAGGACAAGGGCACCCUCUCAGGGAAGCUGAUCUUCAGGGCAGACCCGGAUCCUGCACAGGCUCUCAUGGAGGUCAUGGCACAGCUAGCUUUAUCCAGCGGAGCAGAGGCGGGCGUGACCAUUAACGGAAAGUCUUCAAGUGAGAGAGAGACAGAUAUACUGGAUGAUGAGGACGAAGCAGAACACGCUGUGGACGGGCCAAGCUCCGGCAGUGGUUGUUCCCUCUCGUCCGAAAAGCUAACCGAGAACUCUACUGGUCGUUGGGUACGUCAGCACCUGGCACCGAGUGCCAGCGAUUGCUUACCCGAAAAGGAUAAAGAAAGAACAACAAAGACCAACAAGCAGCGGCCUCCACAUCUGUUCGGCCCUCACACGCCUCCCCAAGGACUCAGCAGCAGGGAGGUGGUGCACACAGUGUCAGUGGACGGGUUCAAAGAUCAUACACUCACCACCUCACUGGGUCAAGAAGAAGAGUUGGCGGCACUAACUUCAGAUGUCGAUGAGUCCAUAGAGCAGCUGAAUCAGCUGAUUUUGGACUUGGAUCCCACUUUCGUUCCCGUCCCUACCUCCCUGUCCCCCUUGUCACGCACCACCUCCCUACAGAGCAACGGUCUCAGCCACAAAGGAAGCAGCCACCGAUCAGGAUGGAGGCAACAAAAGCAGAUCACUGAUGUGACUGACUACGCUGGGCCUCACAGUCCUCGAUGGAGCCCUGGAGUUCAGAGCCUUAGAGGUUCUGCAGCCAGCAAUCUGCCCUCUCAUCACAGGUAAAUGCCACUCCCCUUUUAUCCCCACCAGCAGUUGAAAACACAUCGUGGAUUGUCAAAUUUCUCCAAAGAAAACAUUUUU